rnacentral:rRNA from 1 species
UACAGAGGGUGCAAGCGUUAAUCGGAAUUACUGGGCGUAAAGCGUGCGUAGACGGUUAUUUAAGUCGGGUGUGAAAGCCCCGGGCUCAACCUGGGAAUUGCAUUCGAGACUGAAUAGCUAGGGUGCGGAAGAGGGAAGCGGAAUUUCCGGUGUAGCGGUGAAAUGCGUAGAUAUCGGAAGGAACACCAGUGGCGAAGGCGGCUCUCUGGACCGAGACUGACGCUGAGGCGCGAAAGCGUGGGGAGCAAACAGG